rnacentral:misc_RNA from 1 species
CCUUGCUAAACUCAAACUUCUUAUAGUUAUUUGUCGUUCCUCCUUUCACGUCUAAAGUCUGUGUAUUCUGUUCCGUGCACAAAUGAAAUUUUCUUAGAAUUUAUUUAUUAGCCGAAAAUACAGAAGAUUCAUUAUGACCAAAGCAACGUAAUGCAUCGAAACCAUUGAAUUUCAGGCACUCCUCUCUAUUCUUUGAACGAUAAUUCACAAGCAAUAGGAAUCGCCUAAUGAGCAAGAACUCAGGUGGAAAUAAAAAGCAAUACAUAUAGCAAAACCUUGGUGAAAGUUUCCCCUGCAGGCAAGCAUGAGGAAUACAAAAUUACUUGACAAGAAUUAGGAGCUGGAUUAAAGCCUCCAUCUUUAUUCAGAGUAGCAGCAUUCUCAGGCUUCCCAACCUCUAAGAACAGUAGCUCGAGCAACUCGAUUAACUCCUAAAGUAAAGGCUCCCAUACGGAGAUCGCAAUUGUGGGCCUUGCACAUCUCCUUCACAUCUUUGAAUCCUUUGGUCAUGUAAGUCUUGAGCUCAUUAUUCACUUUCUCCUCAUCCCACAGGAAUCCUUGGAUGUUCUGCACCCACUCAAAGUAACUAACAGUAACUCCUCCUGAGUUUGCAUAUAUAUCUGGCAGAAUAACAACUCCUUUUUUUGAUAAAAUCUCAUCGGCCUCUGGAUCGGUUGGAUGGUUAGCAGCUUCAAUAAUGAAUUUGGCUUUUAUUUCAUUGGCAUUUUCUCUGUUGAUGACUCCCCCAAGGGCUGCUGGAAUGAGAAUAUCACAAUCCUCAACUAAUAUUGAUUUAGGAUCUAUGGGAUCCCCACCAUGAAAUCCUUUCACACCCUUGUGUUCCUUGGCAUGUUUGAGCAGGUUUGGAAUAUCAAUACCAUUUUUGUUCUUUAUAGCCCCAGUGACAUCACUUACAGCAACAAUUUUCCCACCUUGCUCACUGAUCAAUUGGGCAGCCCAGGAGCCCACAUUGCCAAAACCCUGAAAUGAAACACAUUGUCAUCUUAAGGGAACUUUGCUUUAGCCUUCAAGGCUUAACCUGCCGCCAAAUUCAUAUUUGUGCAUCUUCCUAUAGUGGAUUGACCAACCAAGCUGAUAGUCUAGAAAGUGAACCUGUAUGACAAACCGUUGUCCAGAUAUGGACUUCCCAUACUCAUUAAGCAAGGCUUCUGUGGCAAAGAGGACUCCUCUUCCGGUGGCAGCAUCUCUGCCUAGAGACCCUCCGAGAUCAAUAGGUUUUCCAGUCACAACUGCAGGUGAAUAACCAUGGAAUUUCGAGUAUUCGUCUAGUAUCCAUGCCAUUGUCUGAGGCCCAGUUCCCAUAUCUGGAGCUGGAACAUCAGUGUGAAUUCCUAUCAGAUCAUGAAUCUUUUGGGUAAAAACUCUGGUAAGUCGCUCUAGUUCAGAUACGCUUAAAUCCCCUGGAUUGCAUCCUAUCCCCCCUUUAGCGCCUCCAUAAGGGAUAUUUGCUACUGCUGUCUUCCAUGUCAUGAGUUGUGCUAAUGCAUUCACCUCAUCUGGAUCAACCUCUUGGUGAUAUCUAAUUCCCCCCUUCAUUGGGCCUCUAGCAUUGUCAUGCUGGACUCUGAACCCAACAAAAGAAGCCAAAGUCCCAUCAUCUUUGGGUAUGGUGCAUUCAACCUUGAUUUCUCUGAAUGGAAUAAGCAAACUCUUCUCAAGCUUAGAGUCAAGCCCCAGCAGCCUAGCUGCCAGCUUAAAGUUUCUGUUGGUAGCCACUAGUGCAUUCAUGGUUGCUUCACAAGAUUGUGAAGAAGAACUUGUCCAAUUCCACUCUAAAUCAGCAACUAUGAUCGAACUCGAGCACCGAAUCUACAAAUAAAUAGGGCAAAACAUGAAAAGAGAAUCAAAUUCCUUGAGAAUCCAAGAAAAAAAAAACUCUAAAUCUUUGGCAAAUUAACCAAAUCCAAAUUGGGUUGAAAUAUAUAUAAAGAUCACAGUGGGAGAGGGAGUAGUUGGAGCAAUUGGUGUCUCCAACAUGGGUUUUCAUUAGAGGGAGAGAACUCGAUGCCCUCCUCCUCCUAUCUAUAUGUGCAACUACUUUUUCAUCACCUUGUACGUGGAAUUCAAAUUCGUCAAGUCUGGCAAAUGUUACUGCAUGAACGUGAAUCCUACGCGAAACCCAUAUAUGUUUCCUGUUGCCAUUAUUGUUGGAAAUUGAACAUUUUUUUCCAUGGCCAAGUUCGGUUUUAUAGACAGAGACACAGAGUUUAGUCUUGAAUUGAAUAUUUCUUUUAGCUGUCUCAUCA